UUUUUUUGUUAUCUUAGGAGAAAGAUUCAUCAGACUAAGAUGUUUAUCCUAGGAGAAAGAUUCGUCAGACUAUGUUUCUUAUCUUAGGAGAAAGAUUCAUCAUACUAAGAUUUUGAUUCUAGGAGAAAGUUCAUCAGACUAGGUCCUCUUUUUUGUUAUCUUAGGAGAAAGAUUCAUCAGACUAAGAUGUUUAUUCUAGGAGAAAGAUUCAUCAGACUAGGUUUCUUAUCUUAGGAGAAAGAUUCAUCAGACUAAGAUUUCUAUCCUAGUAGAAAGAGCCAUCAGACUAGGUUUUCUAUCUUAGGAGAAAGAUUCAUCAGACUAAGAUUUCUACCUUAGGAGAAAGAUUCAUUAGACUAAGAUUUCUACCGUAGGAGAAAGAUUCAUUAGACUAAGAUUUCUAUCAUAGGAGAAAGAUUCAUCAAACUAGGUUUUCUAUCUUAGGAGAAAAAAUGUGAAAAUCAAUGGCAAGACUUUAUGCACAGUAGCAAGACAAAUAAAGGCAAAGAUUUGAGAAACUUCCCUUUGUCGGCUCUUCUCUUCUCUUUUUUGGACCACUUUCCUUGCAUUGCUUUGUUCCUGUUUCACACAAAGAAAAAUUUGUCAGUUUCGAAAAUGGUGGUCGGUUUGUUGGCUUGAGUCUUGAGCAGCUUGGCUUUUGCUCGAUCAGCCUGAGUCGGUCUCAAGAGAUUUUUGCUCUGCACCAACUCUGAUUGUUUCACACCCAGUACCAUCUGUAUUUGAAGCUCAAACAGCCUUAUCUUAACUGGAGAUCUUUUCUUAGGUGAACUUUUCUGAUAUCUUGACUGACUUCCUGUUUUUGAGCAAUUUGUCUGUCAGAGAGAAUCACAAGUUAUCUUUGCUUGAGCCAAGUAGGAUGACAAGAGUCUUUUGGGAGAGCCUUUGCAUGAAUCCCCAAGGCAUGUUGAUAGUAUCAACUGAGUGCACUGACCAAAUUUACUUUGUGCAACUGAAAAGCUGGUAGCAAAUUUUGAAAUGCUGGGGGACCCAAAACAAGAACUUUGGUUCAGGCUUUAAAAAUUCGAGCUUAGAAUAACUGUUAUAGUUGGUUUGUUUUAUCUGAUUUUUACAUGUUGAGCCUAAUGUGCUAAAUGCCGCUUUUACCGCUUUGAUAUUAUUUGGUUGUAUAUAAAUUGCUACGAAACGCUCCUCUCUCUGAGUCUUCAAAAUCAUCUGGGAAGUGUGCACUUUGUGUGACUUCUUUUCUCUUAGAGUCUUAUCCCAAUUUUAGAACAAGGUUCGGACAAGUUGCAAAGCUGGUGAAACUUCUGUAUUCCCGGUACGCUGCCCCCCUCGGCUCGAGCUGUUCUCUCGGGUAAGCCAGGUCUAGAACAAUACACCCAGGUUUUUAAACCUAGUAUAACACAGCUUCAUGCCGGAUCCCUAGUAGGAACGCUUGCUUGCAUCACGUGCAUUUGACCUUGGGGACCCAACUCAAGGGUUGGGUCUAUCUAGGACAGGUGUACCCAAAUUAAAAAGACCAUCUUGAUGCAUCUUACGUGCUACUUGCGCAUCUAUUUGUUUCGGCUUGCAUGUUGACCGGCUUCAAGAAUAGGGAAAGAAAAUGAAAAAAGAGAAAAAAGAAAAUCGAAAAAAAGAAAAUCAAAGGAAAAAAUCAAGAGUGAGAGGUAGGUAUUUGAAAUUUCUGAAACUCUCCCGAAAUUCAAAAAAAAAGAGAAAAAUAAUCCAAUGUUUUCAAAAAGUCAUGUUUCCCUGUUCCGUCAAAAAGGGCGGAACUACGCGGAUCUGAUUCUCACCGGAUGUGAGAUAUGUAUGCAAACCUCAUCGGUUCCGGCCCCCAAUUUUCAAAAAUCCAAAAAAAAUCUGCCUAUUUUGAGAAGGACUGACUCAGAGUGAAAGAUAUAAUGAUGCAAAGAAACAAUAUUAAUAAGAAAUUCCCAUGUCGGGAAGAACAGGAGAUUUUUUUUCAUAACUAGCCUUAAUGAUCAUGACAUGUAUUUUGGAUUUAACGGCUUGAUCUAUCAAACUGAUCCAAUCUUCCCUUUUACCAUUCUUAUGACCUUUGAAGUCGGGCUUGUUCGUACUAAUUCUUUGCAUCAGCUUCAUGACUCACUUUUGACUAGUGGUGCCCCGAGGGGUUUUCACCUACAAGUCUCUCUCAUUUAUUUAUCUCUACUUAUUGUCGCUUUACAGUGCCCAUGAGGGUUUUCACUAGUAAGACUCUCUCAUUUUUCUUUUUUCUUUUUCUUUUUCUUUUUUCUUCUUGUGUGAGAAACUUGACAGUGUUCUACGUCGCAUGACAAUCGUUGCUCAUUGCAUGCUUCUCUUGGCAUUCUUGAAGGCAUAUCGGGAGGUCUUUAUUUGGAAGAGUUUUGGAUAGGGUUUGAAAGAAGAUACGUCAUAAGGCUCAAAGUAGACUCAAACUGAAGGGGUGGUAGACUUACAACUCUUGGAAUCAACUCUUUCAAAUGUGACAUAAAAUCUUUGCCCCAGUUUCAGAUACUGGAUUUUUUUUUUAAUUCUUAUUUGGGUUAGACCGAACCGUGAGGCUUCCUAUGCAUCCUUUUUUUAAGGAAUCAGGUCAAACGUAGUUCAAACAUCUGACCUAACUAUAACUUUUCUUUCUGUUCCUCUAUUUUUUUUUCUUUCGUUUUCUUUUGUUUUUUUUAUUAUUUUUUUUGCCCCAGCUUCUAUGUUCUGAGGGCAUGGACCUUCGACAGUUCUUUUCUUCUUCUUCUUUUUUUUCACUUGAACUUUCAAAGAGUUGCCCCAGUUUAUACUCUUGGGGCAUGGGCCUUUAUUGUUAUUAUUUUUUUUUCUAAACCUGAUUCCAAAAGAGGGUGGUCAAAGAAAAUAACACAGGCUCAGAAAGGGGUAACAAAGGGUAUAAAGUAUUUGGGUAGCAGAAAAAAGGCCCCCCCAGCCUCGAGAUUGCCAAACAUAGUAUCCUUUUGCGAUCACAACAUUGAUGGACAUGCCUAUCUUCUUGGUGUGUCAUGGUCGAAAGACACUUUCCAUCUAUUAAUGUCAAACUCUCGACCAAGCUUCAAUUGAUUAAACAUCCCCAAGUCCGAUAUUCAUAAUGAUUUGAAGGUGAAUUUUACUCGACCUUAAUUCCAAAGUAUUUCAACUCUUUUUCAUCCUUAAAAAUGUCUUUUUCUCAGUUAUCCAAUUCAUGCUUAAAUCAAUUUUCUAAGAGCUCGCCAAAAAUUCCGCAUGCAUGUCAUGUCACUAAAACUAGCGAGAAAAAAUUAAGCAUGGAACGACACAAAAGGACAAAUUGUGUUUCAUUGAGGAGAUAACAAGACAAACAACCUAAAAUCUGAGUUACAACCCUAACAUAACCCGGCUAAUGAAAAUAGCAACAAAACAGAUAGACAAGACUCACACAAACAGAAUAGAGGGAUAGAAGGGUUUGACUCAAUAAAACAAAUAAAAUUUGGAUCACAACCCUGAAAUAACCUAGAUAAUAGAAAAAACAUAAAAACAAGCUACUAAUAUUCCUUCCUAGUAAGAAGAGAAUGACUUUUCAAUUGUUAAGCUUGACAUUUAGCCACAAAUUUGCUCAUCAGAAUCAGCAUGGCCUUCUCCAAUUUCAGUCGGCAAGUUCCCGAGAGGAUUCUCAUAUUCCAUGUCACCAAGCAUCAUCCCCACAAAGUGUGCAUCAUCAUGUGCAUGUAAAGGAUUCUGCAUGAUAUUCUGGGUGUCACUGUCUUGGAUCACAAUCAAUAUUUCCUAGAUCAUCCUUUCUAUUUCUUUUUUCAAAUCCCGACAGCUUUCAACAUUGUGCCGCUGGGCAUUAAAAUGGUAUUCACACCUUUUAGAAGGGUCAAAACUUCUCGCACGUGGGUCCACAUGAUUUGGAGGGAUGGGUGCAAUCACGUCAUAAUGCUUUAACUUCUCAAAUAAGCUUGCAUAGGACUCUCCUAUUGAUGUAAAGUUAUCUUUCAACCUUUGUUCCCCUCUAUACCCAUGGUUUGGAUGUGGGUAAUGGGGAACUGAAAUUUUUUUUGGAGGCUAGUAAAGAUUUUCUGAUGCUCGUGGUCGCCUUCUAGGGUGUUUUGGUGGCCGGACAACAUACUGAGGGGGAGCAACAGAGUGUUAUGGGUUCUAAGGUGGAUAGUAGUGCUCAAGGGAAUCAUCGGAAACUAGACGAGGCUGGUCAUACCUUCGAGAUGCUCUCCUAGGACCUCUUCUCAACCCUGAUGUCAUCAUGGUUUCUUCAUCCUUCUCAUUCGUGUCACUAAAAUUAUCAGAUUCAACCUGGACAGUCUGAGUUGCAGCUUUAAGAACUGCUUGACUUAUAAUUUUGCCUGUCUUAAGACCAUUCUCUACCAUUUCUCCCAUUUUGAUUACUUCUGAGAAGGAUUUGCCAACUGCGGACAUCAUGUCUUAAAGGUAAUCUGGCUCUUGCGCCUGAAGGAAGACAAUGAUUAGCUCAUGGUCAUCCAUGGGUGGCUUAACUCUAGCCGCUUGCUUUCUCUAUUUAAUGGCAUAUUCCCUGAAACUUUCAGUUGGUUUCUUCUUCAGGUUUGAAGGGGAAUUGCGGUCUGGGACGAUGUCAACGUUGUAUUGGAAUUGUUUGACAAAGGCCAUUGCCAUGUCAUCCAAGACAUACCAGCGAGAAGUGCCUUGAUCCAUAAACCAUUUAGAGGCUAUACCCGUAAGACUUUCCCCAAAAUAAGCUAUUGGCAAUUCUUCAUUUCUUCUCGCACCUCUUAGUUGAUUGUAAUACCUUUUCAAGUGGGCUAUGGGGCCUCCAUGUCCAUCAUACUUUUCAAAUUUUAGAGUCUUGAAACCAGCGGCAAGUGGACAUCGGGGAACACACAUAGAUCCUUGAAGGCAAUACUCUUCUAACCUGCCAACCCUUGCAUGUUUUUUUCAGCCAUUGUUCUAAGCUUUCCACUCUUUGAGUCAAUUCUUCCCGUGCCAUCUUUUGGGCAGGCUUCUCAAUCAUUGCUGGAAGAUCAAAUCGGUACGAGUGGUACUUAGGAGAGUGGUACUAUUCUUGUUGUGUAGCAAAUUGUGGCUCAUGGCUUUUCUUUUGUACCACUGUUGGCUGUGGGAUGGUGAAGACGGGUAUAACAGUAGUGGUUGUCUGGUUGGUUGUCAAUGACAAGCUUUGAGAGCAUGCAACAGAAGUUCCAGCUGUAGUCGUACAGUUGGGAUAAGGACUGAACCCAAGUGGAUAUGAUUGAUCAGACAAUGAUACCAGAAUGACAGUAGUCGAGUUGGGUGUGAACUCUGGGAAACCAUGAAUAGAAAAGGGUGGCCCUUGACCAUUGUCCCAUGCUUGACAUAUUUCCGUCAUUUGCUGUUUGAGUAUUCGGUAUUCCUCGACCACAGUAGACUCUUGUUAAACCCUCCGACGCCGAGUCUCUUAAGCAUUUUCAACAGCUUCGAUGUCAGUUGUCAAUGGCAUUUUUCUCUUGAAUCUUGUGUUACCAGCUUACCACAAACCAACCUCUUUAAAAUUUCUUCACAAUUCAAAACAAAAGAUACGUUAGAAUGGACUAAGUCGGUCUUUAUUAUUAUCAUCAUUUUUUUAAUUAUUUUUUCAUUUUUUCAUUUUUUAAAUGGUGAUCGAACCUGAUGUGGGUUGCCUACAUAUCAUGUGGGAACAUGAAUCAGAUCUUGCGUAGUUCGAGAAGAUUAGGAAUUAAACUAAUUUUUUGUAAUUUUCGAAAAAAGACUUAUAAAGAAGAAAGAAAAUAUUUCUGGAUUUUGAUUUGUUUUUUUAAUUUUUUUGAAAGAAGGACUUCUACAUAAAAAAGAAAAAAUAUUUUUUUUAUUUUGUUUGUUUUUUUUUGAAUUUUUUGGGAGAAAGACUUCCAGGAAAGAAAAACAUAUUUUUGAAUUUUAGUUUGAUAUCUUUUUUGAAUGAAAGACUUCUAUAAAGGAAGAAAAUAUGUUUUGAACUUUUAUUUUUUGUUUUAUUUUGAGAGUUUCAAAAGAAACACUUCUAAAGAAGAAAGGAAAUAUUUUUGGGUAUUUGAACUUGUAUUUUGAAUUUAUGAAAGAAAUAUUUCUAAAGAAAAAAGAAAAUAUUUUUGCUAUCUUGAAUUUUCUUUCCAAUUUUCGAAAGAAGAAUUAAAAUAUUUUUAGAUUUUUUAGAAGAAAUUAAAAGAAAAUAUUUUUGAAUUUUUUUUUUUAAAAAUUUGGGUCUUAAGGAAAGACUUUCUAAAGAAGGAAGUAAUGAAAAUUAUUUUUGAAUUUUUUUUUUAAAAAAAUUGUGGGCAGGAACCGAUGAGGUUUGCCUACAUAUCUCACAUCCGGUGAGAAUCAGACCCACGUAGUUCGUCAAUUUUGACAAAAUCGGAAGAGACAUGUUAUUGACUCAUUUUGAAAUGACUCUUUUUCUUCUUUUUUUCGAAACAUUUCGGCAGAGUUUUGGGACAAUUUCAAAUAUUGAGGUUUUCAGAACCGAGCUUUAUUUCCUUCCUACAUCACUCUUGAUUUUUCUUUUGAUUUUCUUUUCCUAGCCGGUCAACAUGAAAGCCAAAACAAAUAAAUAUUCACAUAGCACAUAGGAUGCAUUAGGAUGAUUUGUUAUUUUGGGUACACCUAUCCUAGACGGACCCAACCCCUGUGUUGAGUCCCCAAAGUCAAAUGCACGUGAUGCAAACAAACGUUCCUACUAGGGAUCCGGUAUGAGAUUAUGUUAUUCUAGGUUUAAACCUGCGGUUGUGUUCGAGACCUGGCAUACCCGAGCGGACAGCUCGAGCCGAGAUAGGGGCAACGUACCGGGAGCACGAAAGUCAACCUGACCUUAUUGCUGACCCAGCCUCGUUCUAUUUGGUAUGACUUCUAACAGAAAAGUGGGCCACGCGUACGUGUGCACCAUAUUUUUAGAAGACUCAGAAUGGAGCCGUAAGAAGAUAGUUUAAUACAACUCAAAUAAUAUUAAAGCAGUAAAUAAAUGACAAUUAUCACAUUAGGUCCACAAAUACAGUAAGAUCAACAAACAAUAAAGCCAAGUAAAAAUCACAUUAAGAAGCUCGAAUUCUGAACCCUGAACCAGAGAUUAUGCGUUCUUUUCCCCAACAGAGUCGCCAGAGCUGUCACACCUCCUUUUUACCCGCAUAAUGGGAUAUAAGGGAGUUUUUCCAAUUAAAGUGACAAUAACCGAAAUGAGGUUAUUUAUAUUCAAAUUUAGAGUCGCCACUUGGGAUAAUUUAUGGUGUCCCAAGUCGCCGAAUUAAAAUCCCGAAUUGAGGAAGUUGACUCUUAUUUAUGGUCUGCGAACACAGAAGAUCGGGUAAGAAAUUCUGUUAACCCGGGAGAAGGUGUUAGGCAUUCCCAAGUUCUGUAGUUUUACCACGGUCGCUUUAAUCAUACAUGACUUAAUUAAAUUAUUUAAAUAUGUAUUAGGAACUAUAUGAAUUUACCCUUUUAACCACUUUUAAAUACUUGAUUAUUAGUGAUUGUGGAAUUAUCUUAAAACGAGUCACGCGUACGUGUACUCAUUUCCUUUGGCGCGUUAAGAAUCAUAUCACGCGUACGUGUCCAUAAUUAAUCAUGCUUUAUUAUUAAGAAAAAGCUUGGCAAAAGUUGCGUGAAUGCAUACCUUGAUUUAUUUUGGAAUCAUAAUUAUGUCACGCAAACGUAUUCAUAAUCACAAUAAUUUGAUUAAUUAAGAGUGUGCCUGAAGCUACUAACAUGUUCAUGAAUAUUAUAAAAUUAUUUACAGACUAAUAAAAGAGGGCAACUAUAUGAUAUUAACGGGCCUAGCAAAUUAAACAUACUUUGGUAAAAGAUUUUCUAAUUCAUAACAAACUUCAACGGCCCACUUUAUCCUUGCAACCCAAAUUCUUUCGCCUAACUUAAACAAAAACCCAAAGAAUCAGCAUAUUUCUCAUGAUAAGGUUGGCUCAAAAUUAGUUGUUUUUCACAACUCAACUACUAAACGUGACUCAUUAUUUAUGAACUAAAUUAGAUCUAAACACAUUAAAACUUGAAUAGUAAAAUAUAUUGGAUAAAGGCAACAUUAAAUGAAAAUAAACUAGUAUAAUCAACAUGCUUUCAACCACAAAAAGACAAAAUAACACAUAAUAACAAAAUAUACAAAGAAUAAAAUAAAAGAAGGGGAACUGGACCUUCAUUAAUGUAAAACCCUCUUUAGCAUAAUGGAAGAACUCCAUAGAAGUUGGAACAAAAGCCACAAAUCGCGACAGACCCACGACCAGAAACCUCGAAUCUUGCCGGGUAAAGCUCGUCAGAAAAUUAAACUCGAACCCGACUAAAAAUACUACUCCCUCCGUUCCAAUUUAUGUGAACCUGUUUGACUGGGCACGAAGUUUAAGUAAAAAAUCAAGACUUUUGGAAUUUGUGGUCCUAAACAAGUUCAAAUGAGGCCCAAAGUAUUUGUGUGGUUAUAAAAGCUUCUCAUUAAGGAUAAAGUUGUAACUUUAAGCUAAAUUGUUACCAAAUUUAGAAAGGUUUCAUUCUUUUUGGAACAGACCAAAAAGGAAAUAGGUUCACAUAGGAACAGAGGGAGUAUUUUUUUGAGGAAAAGGGGAUGUUUUCGAGGUGUUUAUUGCUGGUUGCGGGGCUGUUACAGGGGCUGAUUUUGUAGCUGCUUUAUGGUUGAUUUUUGGUGGUUAAAGGUGAUGAUUCCAACUAGGUUUGGUGCUGUUUUUUAGCAGCUAUUGGAGUCUUUUUUGGCUGGUUUUAGUCUGUUUUCUCGCUGGUUUCAUGGCUGAUUUUGUAGCUGUUUUUGCUACACAUUUAGGGUGAGAUUUGAGUAGAAAUUCGUGGUAGUUUAAUGCUGUAUUUGCUGCUUUUGGAAUUGAUUUUUGUUGAGUUUUCACUGCUGGUUUCGAGCUUGGUUUCAGGUAUAAAAUGGUGGUGUUUGGCUGAGGUUUUGGAGCUAUGUUAACGGGCUAAACAAGGGUGCUGGACGUGGCUGAUUUUGCCGGAUAUGAAGAUAGUUUAUGAGCUGGUUCAGUUGGUUUUUAUGGUGCAACAAUGGUGAAAAAAUAUUAUGGGUUAAUGAGGAAGAUGAGUGAAGUUUGGAGUGUUUAAUGGAGCUUUUGUAGCGUUUUCACUGCACUCCCAUGGUGAAAACGAAAAAGAAGAAGAAAAGCUGUGAAGAACUGAAUAUGGUGAAGAAAAGCUAUGAAGAUGGUGAAGAAAAGCUGUGUUUUGCUUUAAGAGGAAGAAAGGAACGCUUUCUUUUUCCUUUUGAUUUGUUUUCGACCUUUUUUUUUCGUUUUUCAUUUUCUGUUUUUCGCCCCCUGAUCUCCCCUAUUAUUUUUGUUCCCCAACUUUCCUUCUUAUAUUAUGUGUGUGAGUAUGAAGGAUGAAUAUUUGGAGGGAAGGAUGCCGGGGGUCUAUUUGGAAACAGUCUCUCUACCUUAGGGUAGGGGUAAGGUCUAAGUACACACUACCCUCCCACUACCCUCCCCAGACUCUACUAAGUGGGAUUAUACUGGGUUGUUGUUGUUGUUGUUGAGUAUGAAUAUUUUGGAAAGAAAAAAAUAGAUAGGAAGAAGCCUUGUGGUCUCCACUAUUAGAAUUGGGAUAAAGAAG
rnacentral:lncRNA from 1 species